GCAAGGGGAUCCACCCUGGUGGACUAGACUGCUGUGCAUUAGAUAGAAAUUGCUGGCAAAUUAUUUCAAAUUACUAAAUCCAUGAAUCACACAAGGCAGAUAAUGUACAGCUCGAAUCUCUGGAACUAAGCAGACUUUAGCAGCAUUGGGAUUUACCUUUUGUUUACUGAGAAAAACCAAUUCUUGGAGGAAAAGAAAUGAGUGCUGGAGCAUCAGCUGAUGCCUGUUUCUGCAGUUGCUGUCAAUGGUUACAAUGAUACGCCAAGAAUCAUUAUUUGCUGCAAUCUGGUCAUUUGUUCAGAGCUAAAUACAUGUAUGCCCUGAUCCACCCCCACCAAAGCUGUGAAUGCACUCCUGAAAACUCGAUAAUCACACUACAGUGCUGCUUACAGGUAUGUAAAUGUAAAUGUAUUCCCUUGUUUGGUCAUAGCACCAGUGCAACAUACACGAUUUACAAAGGCGAGCAAUUAGGAAUGAGAGCAAUUAGGAAUGAGGGCACCCUCUGUGAGAUCAGGUGAAAGCAGAUCCUGGGGAAGGAACCACUUUAGAGUGCGUCCCGCUGGACCAGGGCAUGCAGCAGUGUCCUCUGUAUGUAAUCUCAGGCAGGAACAUUUUAAACGUGGUGGAGCAGGAGCUGAGAGAUGGCCAGGAGAGCUGCAAAGCCACUCCAGAGCCAUCUGUUGGCUGAAGUGCAGGAAGGCUCAUGAGCCACAUCUUGCAGUUACCUGCUACUCUUCCAGCCCCCAAAGGGUGGCAAACAGAGAUCUGACAACUUCAAUCAAGGCAUUUCACAGGACAGGGGACAGAGCCCACAGCCUUUGUGGUGUGGUUUUCUGUGUGAGCAGCCUGAUUAUUUUUUUUCCUAGACUUGGAGGAAGAGGAAAUGGUGAUGAUGGUCCUGCACUACAGCCAGUCUCUAAUGCUAGUGUCAGCCCCCAGAAGGGCCAGUGACUACCUGGGUUAGUUGUGUGGGGAGUUUGCUUUGGAAAGGUGUCAGAGAACAGCUUGGGAAAGAAGAACUGUGGGAGGAGGACCCUGAGCUGCCUGGGAUUACUGGGUUUUUUUGCAGUGAUAUGAAAAAUUUUAUCUGCUGGAAAUCUACAGGAUCACUUGUCAGAAGAUUGCACCUCUCUUGGCCUACGAUCUACAGCACAGAGUUGUUGAAAUCCCUUCUCUGCCACUUCAGACAGCAGUACCUAAUUCACUACAAUCCCAAACCUGGAUAAACAACAGCAGUAAAGCAAGGUUAUCUUCUUUCAUCACAAGAGGUAUGGGGUGGCACACCAGCACUUUUCACAACAGUGAAACAGGAUGUACAGCAGAGAUGGACAGAACUCUACGAUUCUAUAUAAAAAUUCUACUUCGUAAUCUUUGCUAGGGAUGAAAAAAGAGAACUGAAAAAUAAACAGCUGAAUGGGUUGCUAACCACCAAAGGAUCAAGUAGCAAAUUUGAGAGUACAUACAACUACAGGUCAGUAGCCUCAGGGAGCCAGGACUGGGUAGAGGGCAGCCUUGUGCAGCCCUGCCAAGGCAGGAGAAGCAACUUGGCUUCAGUUAAGAAGAGGUCCAGAAUGGUUCCACCUCAUUCCAAGUGCCUGGAGGCACAUAUGUGUCAUUUUGUGCCAGCCCACUGGACUAAAGGAUAUAAUCCAGGAUGAAUGAUCAGUUUGAUAUCCCACAGGUUAAUUUUGCCCAUGAAUGGCCAUUGCCUUCAGAGCUCUCUCCAUGACCUGUGUUGUUUAACUAAAUGGAUCCCCUUUACUUACAUCCUC